rnacentral:lncRNA from 12 species
CAACACUGACAGGAGUCUCCGGCCUCCACAGGACACACUGUGAAUGAUUGGGAUGAUUUGGGGCCACGUCCAUUCUGACAGGAGCCCCCAGCCUCCUCAGGUCUUAUGGUGAGGCUGAGGAAAAUGUGGGGCCACGUCAAGACUGAGAGGACCCCGUCCUCCUCAGGACCUGCACUUUGGCUUCGGGACACAUGGGGCUGCAUCUAGGCUGACAGGAACCUACAGCUUCCUGAGGACCCGCGGUGAGUUUUCAGGGGACGUGGGGCCAUGUCCAGGCUGACAGGUGCCCCCGGCCUCCUGAGAACCUGCUGUGAGGCUUCCAGAGGAUGUGAGGCAUACUCCACGGUGACAGGAGACCUGGCGUACUCAGGACCCGCUGCUUAUGACUCUGGAACACGUGGAGCCACAUCCGCACUCACAGGAGCCCGGCUUCCUCAGGACCCCCUGGAGGACACUGGAGGCGCCAUGUGGGCCACGUCCAUGUCAGAAGGGACUCCUCAAAUUCAUAGGGAGCCAGCCUGUGCUGGGGAGGCCUGAGGGGGAUGUGGGGACGCGUCUACGCUGAUGAGCUGCAGCCUCCACAGGACCCGCGGGAAGUCUUCAGGGGGAAAUUGGGUCGCGUUCAAGCUGACAGGAGCCCCGGUCUCCUCAGGACCCACAGUGAGGCUUUAGGAAGAUAUGGGCCCGCAUCCACUCUGACAGGAGCCCCUGGGCCCCCUCAGGACCUGCGGGGAGGCUUCAGGAAGAUGUGGUGCCACGUCCACUCUGGCAGGAGCUCCCAGGCCCCUCAGGACAUAGGUUGAGGCUUCUGGAAGCUGGGUGCCGCAUUCAUGGUUACAGGAGCCCCGGCCUCCUCAGAACCCUCGGUGAUGUUUCUGGA